rnacentral:tRNA from 1 species
GCUGGUGUAGCUCAGCGGUAGAGCAACGCACUCGUAAUGCGUAGGUCGGGGGUUCAAUUCCCUCCACCAGCA